rnacentral:misc_RNA from 1 species
GUGAAUCAUCAAAUUUUUGAACGCAAAUUGCGCUUUCUGGUAUUCCGGGAAGUAUGCCUGUUUGAGGGUCAGUUAAAUAAAAAUCGUUUUUUUGGCUGCCGUUCUUUGUGACGCGUCGGAGUGUGGUCGUCUUACCUUCGGUUAAGUGACUUAAAAUUUGGGCAUGAUGUUCGAACGUAUUUAAAUCGCUUACGUACGUUUGAGAUAUCGAAUGCUUAUUAGGUUCGUUCACUCUCAUUAUUUGCGCCUAUAAUUUGUCAUUAAAUGACCUCAAAUCAGGUAUGA